rnacentral:rRNA from 1 species
UCGACGAUGAUCCCGCUUGCUGGGGGAUUAGUGGCGAACGGGUGAGUAACACGUGAGUAACCUGCCCUUAACUCUGGGAUAAGCCUGGGAAACUGGGUCUAAUACCGGAUAUGACUCCUCAUCGCAUGGUGGGGGGUGGAAAGCUUUAUUGUGGUUUUGGAUGGACUCGCGGCCUAUCAGCUUGUUGGUGAGGUAAUGGCUCACCAAGGCGACGACGGGUAGCCGGCCUGAGAGGGUGACCGGCCACACUGGGACUGAGACACGGCCCAGACUCCUACGGGAGGCAGCAGUGGGGAAUAUUGCACAAUGGGCGAAAGCCUGAUGCAGCGACGCCGCGUGAGGGAUGACGGCCUUCGGGUUGUAAACCUCUUUCAGUAGGGAAGAAGCGAAAGUGACGGUACCUGCAGAAGAAGCGCCGGCUAACUACGUGCCAGCAGCCGCGGUAAUACGUAGGGCGCAAGCGUUAUCCGGAAUUAUUGGGCGUAAAGAGCUCGUAGGCGGUUUGUCGCGUCUGCCGUGAAAGUCCGGGGCUCAACUCCGGAUCUGCGGUGGGUACGGGCAGACUAGAGUGAUGUAGGGGAGACUGGAAUUCCUGGUGUAGCGGUGAAAUGCGCAGAUAUCAGGAGGAACACCGAUGGCGAAGGCAGGUCUCUGGGCAUUAACUGACGCUGAGGAGCGAAAGCAUGGGGAGCGAACAGGAUUAGAUACCCUGGUAGUCCAUGCCGUANACGUUGGGCACUAGGUGUGGGGGNCAUUCCACGUUUUCCGCGCCGUAGCUAACGCAUUAAGUGCCCCGCCUGGGGAGUACGGCCGCAAGGC